ACGGGAGGUGAGAUUACAGACGGGAGGUGAGAUUACAGACGGGAGGUGAGAUUACAGAGGGGAGGUGGGGAAUCACAACAUGAACUUUAACUCAUCACUUUAACCACACAGGACUGAAGCGGAGAGCGAGUCUCUGAGGUUAAUCCAGCAUAAACUCAGAGAUUAUAGAGCAAACAUCACCUGCAUGAGAAUCAUUUAUGUAACGUUAGUGUCAACAACUGUUUGCUUUCCUGUUAAUGUUUUUUGUGUGUGUGCAUACGUGCGUGCCUCUCUCUCUCUCUCUCUUUCUCGUCACCAGCGCUGAAAACAGUCCAGAGGUCUAAAACGUCGCUUCUCUGCUCAACACGUUGUGGGUUCGAAUCCCACUUGAGGUGAACAGUGAAGCCAACAGCCGAGUCUCCUCUGCUGUGUCGCCGCACGUGACAACUGUUACUGCCCAGUGAACAAUAACAGCACAGUCAGCGCUGCUCCACUGUCUCUGAAGGAGGAGGAAGGAGCUCAGGGAUGAGGUAUCAUCGCCCCCUGGUGGACAACUGCUACUUUCUUCCCUCCCCACUCAAAGGAAAACGAAGCGUAAAUGCGAGUGAAUUAGUGAGCGAGUGAACAAGGUGUUUGUCUCAGCUGGGAGCUCAGAGUGACUCACACACAUGAAUGACUCUUCUCUGUGUAUGAUCAGGAUUAUUAUGAUUGUUGAGCUGCAGGCAAAAAUAAAUAAAUAAAUAAAUGA